GGACUACCCGGGUAUCUAAUCCCGUUCGCUACCCACGCUUUCGUGUUUGAGCGUCAGGAAUGGGCCAGUGCACUGCUUUCGCAUUUGGUGUUCCCCAUGAUAUCAACGGAUUUCACCCCUACACCAUGAGUUCCGUGCACCUCUCCCACCCUCUAAGUUCUGCCGUUUCCCUCGCAUUACCCGGGUUAAGCCCGAGUGCUUUUACGAGAGACUAACAAAACCGCCUGCACACCCUUUACGCCCAGUGAUUCCGGGUAACGCUUGAGGCCUCUGUAUUACCGCGGCGGCUGGCAC
rnacentral:rRNA from 1 species